AGUGAACGCUGGCGGUAGGCCUAACACAUGCAAGUCGAACGGCAGCACAGUAAGAGCUUGCUCUUACGGGUGGCGAGUGGCGGACGGGUGAGGAAUACAUCGGAAUCUACUUUUUCGUGGGGGAUAACGUAGGGAAACUUACGCUAAUACCGCAUACGACCUACGGGUGAAAGCAGGGGAUCUUCAGACCUUGCGCGAUUGAAUGAGCCGAUGUCGGAUUAGCUAGUUGGCGGGGUAAAGGCCCACCAAGGCGACGAUCCGUAGCUGGUCUGAGAGGAUGAUCAGCCACACUGGAACUGAGACACGGUCCAGACUCCUACGGGAGGCAGCAGUGGGGAAUAUUGGACAAUGGGCGCAAGCCUGAUCCAGCCAUACCGCGUGGGUGAAGAAGGCCUUCGGGUUGUAAAGCCCUUUUGUUGGGAAAGAAAAGCGGCAGGUUAAUACCCCGCUGUUCUGACGGUACCCAAAGAAUAAGCACCGGCUAACUUCGUG
rnacentral:rRNA from 1 species